rnacentral:rRNA from 1 species
UACGUAGGGUGCGAGCGUUGCCCGGAUUUAUUGGGCGUAAAGGGCGCGUAGGCGGCUCGGCACGUCCGUUGUGAAAUCGCCCGGCUCAACUGGGCGGGGUCAGCGGAUACGGUCGAGCUUGAGCAAGCUAGGGGGCAAUGGAAUUCCCGGUGUAGUGGUGGAAUGCGCAGAUAUCAGGAGGAACACCAAUGGCGAAGGCAGCUCGCUGGAACGGUACUGACGCUGAGGCGCGAAAGCGUGGGGAGCGAACAGG